CAUUUUGGGAAGCCGACGUGGGUGGAUCACCUGAGGUCAGGAGUUCGAGACCAGCCUGGCCAACAUGGUGAAACUCUGUCUCUACUAAAAUACAAAAAUUAGCCGGGCGUGGUGGCAGGGGCCUGUAAUCCCAGCUACUCAGGACGCUGAGGCAGGAGAAUCGAUUGAACCUGGGAGGCGGAGGUUGCAUUAGCCAAGAUUGCGCCAUUGCACUCCAGCCUGGGCAACAAGAGAGAAACUCCAUCUCAAAGAAAAAAAAAAGAAAGAAAGAAAAAGAAAAGAAAAGGUCUUCAUGGUCCUACGAGGAAGACUGGCUUCCAUGAAGCAAGGAACGUGGCUGACUGUCUACACUUGCGCUAACAAUAGCUCGGGAAAGAAAACACAGUUUUUGUGCAUGAUUUUCUGACCCUCACCAAACUUGGGCGGAUGGCUACGGGCAGGGUUUCUUAUAAAGCUGCUCGUUUCCCCGGGUGCCGAAAAGGAAUUCAAACAGAGGCCUUUUCUGUUCUUGUAACUUGCUGACCCACAUGGGAAGUAGCCACCCCCCCAGUACCCUGACAUUCCCACCCAGCCACCAGGCAGCAGCAGCCGCUGGGCUCUCUGACUGCAGCCCACAGCGAGAGACGAAUUUCAUGCUGUGAUCCAGAACAUACACACAAGCACCCGCACACACAGGUGCAUUUGUAUGUGUUACUUUCUCCUGGAUCCCCAGUGCCUGCCACACAGUAGCUGCUCAACAAGUAUCUACUGAGUGAGUGAGUGAAUAGAAUAAUGCGUUUGGAAAUACACGGUUGACACUAAAGUUUGAUGGGACAAUGCUCACCUUACUACGUGCCUUCUGUUGAGUUUCCCAGUCCAUUAAUGGGUCACAACUCAAAGUCUGAACAACACUGCUGUGAAGCCCCCAUCUUAAGGGGCAUGUGGAUUUAGUCCUGAGAUACAGGCAGCCAGAAGUCUGAGUGCCCUGACAGUCCCCACAGAUGGUGCCCAUCAAUUUCUCCCCUCACCACAUGUGCAAGUCACACCACUCAGCCAGGGGUAGAGUCUGUUUCCCCUCCCCUUGAGUCUGGGCUGGCCCUGUGACUUGCCUUGACCAACAGAAAGCACUAGAAAUGACACUCUGCCAGUUCUGGGCCUGGACCUCAAGAAACCUGGUAGCUUCAGUUUUCAAUCUUGGAAGUCAGUCACCAUGCUAUGAGGAAGUCCAACUAUCCUGCCAGAGAGAGUCCUGGGGGAUAAGACAGCACAUGGAGAGAGAAAGAGGCCACACAGAGGUGCACUGAGGCCCCAGACAUCUUCCAGGAAUCUCAGAGUGAAACCAGACACUACACGUUAACAACUUUGUCCGUGGCACACGCCUGUAAUCCCAGCACUUUGGGAGGCUGAGGUGGGUGGAUCACUUGAGGUCAGGAGUUCGAGACCAGCCUGGCCAAAAUGGUGAAACCCCUUCUCUACUAAAAAUACAAAAAUUAGCUGGGCAUGGUGGUGCACGCCUGUAGUCUCAGCUACUUGGGAGGCUGAGGCAGGAGGAUUGCUUGAACCCAGGAGGCGGAGGUUGUAGUGAGCUGAGAUUGUGCCACUGCACUCCAGCCUGGGUGACAGCCAGACUCCAUCUAAAAAAAAAAGAAAAAAAAGAAAUAGGUAAAGGGAAUGUUGUGUCCUAACUGGAGUUCUCUGAGGGCCAAGGACCUCAGAAUUACCUUGCUCAAACAAAGCCUGAAAGAGCCAACCCUAGCUAAGGUGAAGGGUGUUCCUGCUCAGCAACCCACAGUCUCUGGGAAGACUGGAAGAGAUCUUCAAGAGUUCCUGUAACCUUGCAGUGUGAAAGCAAAGCGUGAGUGAUCCAAGGGAAAGUCCUGUGCGACCCCAGAAGUGUAGGCAGCAAGCCACCCAGGCGCUGAGGCAAGAGACCGAGGACACGAGCUGUUCCAGUAUAAUAAAAUAUAAAACAAGAAUAGUUAUACCAGAUAUAGAUCUUAGAUAUGAUUAUAUAUGAAUAUCAAUAAUCAUUAGUUUGUAGCAAUUACUCUUUAUUCCAAUAUUAUAAUAAUCCUUGCUCUAUAAUCAUAACCUAGGAAAAACCAGGCCAUACAGAGAUAGGAGCUGAGGGGACACAGUGAGAAGUGACCAGAAGAUAAGAGUGCAAGCCUUCUGUUAUGCCCAGACAGGGCCACCAGAGGGUUCCUUGGUCUAGCGGUGAUGCCAGCGUCUGGGAAGACACCCGUUGCCAGGCGGACCGUGGUCUAGCGGUAGCAAAAAGUGUCAAGGAACAACACCCGCUACUUAGCAGACCGGGAAAGGGAGGCUCCCUUUCCCCGGGGGAGUUUAGAGAAGACUCUGCUCCUCCAUCUCUUGUGGAGGGCCUGACAUUAGUCAGGCCCGCCCGCAGUUAUCCGGAGGCCUAACCAGAGUCUCCCUGUGAUGCUGUGCUUCAGUGGUCACGCUCCUAGUCCGCCUUCAUGUUCCAUCCUGUACACCUGGCUCUGCCUUCUAGAUAGCAGUAGUCAAUUAGUGAAAGUACUAAAAGUCUCUGACGUGCAGAAAUAAUGGCAUAAGCUGUCUUUCUCUCUGUCUCCUCUCCCUCUCUGCCUCGGCUGCCAGGCAGGGAAGGGCCCCCUGUCCAGUGGACACGUGACCCACGUGACCUUACCUAUCAUUGGAGAUGACUCAUACUCUUUACCCUGCCCCUUUUGCUUCGUAUCCAAUAAAUAACAGCGCAGC
rnacentral:lncRNA from 1 species